rnacentral:rRNA from 1 species
CCUACGGGAGGCAGCAGUGAGGAAUAUUGGUCAAUGGCCGUAAGGCUGAACCAGCCAAGUAGCGUGAGGGAAGACUGCCCUAUGGGUUGUAAACCUCUUUUAUGCGGGGAUAAAGGUGUCCACGUGUGGAUGUUUGCAGGUACCGCAUGAAUAAGGACCGGCUAAUUCCGUGCCAGCAGCCGCGGUAAUACGGAAGGUCCGGGCGUUAUCCGGAUUUAUUGGGUUUAAAGGGAGCGUAGGCCGGUCUUUAAGCGUGCCGUGAAAUUUUGUGGCUCAACCAUGAGAGUGCGGCGCGAACUGGAGACCUUGAGUGCGCGGAAGGCAGGCGGAAUUCGUGGUGUAGCGGUGAAAUGCUUAGAUAUCACGAAGAACCCCGAUUGCGAAGGCAGCGUACCGGCGCCCAACUGACGCUGAAGCACGAAGGCGUGGGUAUCAAACAGGAUUAGAUACCCCGGUAGUC